UACGUAGGGGGCAAGCGUUGUCCGGAUUCAUUGGGCGUAAAGAGCGUGUAGGCGGCCCGGUAGGUCGGUUGUGAAAACUGGAGGCUCAACCUUCAGAGGUCGACCGAAACCAUCUGGCUAGAGUCCGGGAGAGGAGAGUGGAAUUCCUGGUGUAGCGGUGAGAUGCGCAGAUAUCAGGAAGAACACCCGUGGCGAAAGCGGCUCUCUGGAACGGUACUGACGCUGAGACGCGAAAGCGUGGGGAGCGAACAGG
rnacentral:rRNA from 1 species